rnacentral:sRNA from 1 species
UUGCGCCUGCGGCGGACCCGGCACGGAUCAUGGGGGCAUACCCAGGCUUCGCAGGCAGCCGAUCCCUGUACGGUCUGGUAUAAUUCCGGAAUUUCCGGAAUUUAAAAUCUUC